rnacentral:rRNA from 1 species
AUAGGAAGAUAAAAGGCAUCUUUUAUCUUUUAAAAGACCUAGUAAUAGGUAUGCUUUAGGAGGGGCUUGCGCCAUAUUAGUUAGUUGGUAGGGUAAUGGCCUACCAAGACGAUGAUGUGUAGCUGGACUGAGAGGUUGAACAGCCACAUUGGGACUGAGACACGGCCCAAACUCCUACGGGAGGCAGCAGUAGGGAAUUUUCGGCAAUGGAGGAAACUCUGACCGAGCAACGCCGCGUGAAUGACGAAGUACUUCGGUAUGUAAGUUCUUUUAUCAAGGAAGAAAAGCAAAUGGCGAACCAUUUGUUUGCCGGUACUUGAUGAAUAAGCCCCGGCUAAUUAUGUGCCAGCAGCCGCGGUAAGACAUAAGGGGCAAGUGUUAUCCGGAAUUAUUGGGCGUAAAGGGUGCGUAGGCGGUCUAGUAAAGUCAGUGGUGUAAUGGCAACGCUUAACGUUGUCCGGCUAUUGAAACUGCUAAACUUGAGUUAGAUAGAGGCGAGUGGAAUUCCAUGUGUAGCGGUAAAAUGCGUAAAUAUAUGGAGGAACACCAGAGGCGUAGGCGGCUCGCUGGGUCUUAACUGACGCUGAGGCACGAAAGCGUGGGGAGCAAACAGGAUUAGAUACCCUGGUAGUCCACGCCGUAAACGAUGAGUACUAAGUGUCGGGUUAAACCGGUACUGAAGUUAACACAUUAAGUACUCCGCCUGAGUAGUACGUACGCAAGUAUGAAACUUAAAGGAAUUGACGGGACUCCGCACAAGCGGUGGAUCAUGUUGUUUAAUUUGAAGAUACCCGAAAAACCUUACCAGGUCUUGACAUGUUUUUGCAAAAUGAUAGUAAUAUCGUGGAGGUUACCAGAAACACAGGUGGUGCAUGGUUGUCGUCAGCUCGUGUCGUGAGAUGUUAGGUUAAGUCCUAAAACGAGCGAAACCCUUAUCGUUAGUUGCCAGCACGUUAUGGUGGGGACUUUAACGAGACUGCCAAUGAUAAAUUGGAGGAAGGUGAGGAUCACGUCAAAUCAGCAUGCCCCUUAUGACCUGGGCUACAAACGUGAUACAAUGGCUGUUACAAAGGGUAGCUGAAACGCAAGUUCUUGGCCAAUCCCCAAAAACAGUCCCAGUCCGGAUUGAAGUCUGCAACUCGACUUCAUGAAGUUGGAAUCGCUAGUAAUCGCGAAUCAGCAUGUCGCGGUGAAUACGUUCUCGGGGUUUGUACACACCGCCCGUCAAACCACGAAAGUUGGCAA